AAGAAGGACGCUGCUCAGAAAAAGGCUGCUGAACAGAAAACCAAAGUUCGUUUCAGUGGGCUCGUUUGCCUGCAGAGACAGAGAGAGGGAGAGAGAGAGGCCUCGCUCAUCUCAGCCAGAGCUAACCAAGCGUGAGGGCGCAAUGACGGCAUGCAAUGAAGUCCAUUAGGAGAGAUGCUGAUGGUGGAGGUUUCUGAAAUGCAGAUGCCAGAGUCUGCCAAGCCCGGCCCUGCCCCUCUCCCCCCCACCAGCCCU